rnacentral:rRNA from 1 species
UACGUAGGUGGCAAGCGUUGUCCGGAUUUACUGGGCGUAAAGCGCCCGCAGGCGGCUUGGCAAGUUUGGGGUGAAAUCUCCCGGCUCAACUGGGAGGGUGCCUCGAAAACUGCCAGGCUUGAGGCAUGGAGAGGGAUGCGGAAUUCCCGGUGUAGUGGUGAAAUGCGUAGAUAUCGGGAGGAACACCAGUGGCGAAGGCGGCAUCCUGGCCAUGUCCUGACGCUCAGGGGCGAAAGCGUGGGGAGCGAACAGG